rnacentral:rRNA from 1 species
UUAAGUUGUCAAGGGCGAACGGUGGAUGCCUUGGCACCAGGAGCCGAUGAAGGACGUGGUAGGCCGCGAUAGGCCUGGGGGAGCUGCCAAACUAGCUGUGAUCCCAGGGUGUCCGAAUGGGGAAACCUGGCACGAGUCAUGUCGUGUCAUCCAUGCCUGAAUUCAUAGGGCAUGUGAGGGGAACGCGGGGAAGUGAAACAUCUCAGUACCCGUAGGAAGAGAAAACAAACGUGAUUCCGUGAGUAGUGGCGAGCGAAAGCGGACGUAGCCUAAACCUUAUACGUGUGAUACCUGUCAGGGGUUGCGUAUUCGGGGUUGUGGGACCUGCUUGGUUGUUCUGACAGACUUCCGAAGAGUUACAAAGUUUGAUGUUAGUUGAACGGUGUGGGAAAGCCGACCGUAGAGGGUGAGAGUCCCGUAAACGAAAAUGUCAAGCCUCUUUGCAGUGUUCCCGAGUAGCAGCGGACUCCUAGAAUCUGCUGUGAAUCUGCCAGGACCACCUGGUAAGGCUGAAUACUUCCUGGUGACCGAUAGCGGACUAGUACCGUGAGGGAAUGGUGAAAAGUACCCCGGGAGGGGAGUGAAAUAGUACCUGAAACCGUUCGCCUACAAUCCGUCAGAGCCUUUCGGGGUGAUGGCGUGCCUUUUGAAGAAUGAGCCUGCGAGUUAGUGGCAUGUGGCGAGGUUAACCCGUGUGGGGUAGCCGUAGCGAAAGCGAGUCUGAAUAGGGCGUUUUCAGUCGCAUGUUCUAGACCCGAAGCGGAGUGAUCUAGCCAUGGGCAGGUUGAAGCGUGGGUAAGACUACGUGGAGGACCGAACCCACCAACGUUGAAAAGUUGGGGGAUGACCUGUGGUUAGGGGUGAAAGGCCAAUCAAACUCCGUGAUAGCUGGUUCUCCCCGAAAUGCAUUUAGGUGCAGCGUCGCGUGUUUCUUGCCGGAGGUAGAGCACUGGAUGGUCUAGGGGGCCCACAAGCUUACUGAAAUCAGCCAAACUCCGAAUGCCGGUAAGUGAGAGCGCGGCAGUGAGACUGCGGGGGAUAAGCUUCGUAGUCGAGAGGGAAACAGCCCAGAUCGCCAGCUAAGGCCCCUAAGCGUGUGCUAAGUGGAAAAGGAUGUGGGAUCGCAGUGACAACCAGGAGGUUGGCUUAGAAGCAGCCACCCUUUAAAGAGUGCGUAAUAGCUCACUGGUCAAGUGGUUCUGCGCCGACAAUGUAGCGGGGCUCAAGCACACCGCCGAAGCUGUGGCAUUCAUA